rnacentral:rRNA from 1 species
AUGUCGUCCUCCGCCGUCCCUAUCACCUCCGGCCUCAACUACAACACCUCCGAGCCCCUCUCCCGGACGAACUAUGUUCUCUGGAGAGCUCAAGCGCGAUCCCAGAUAAUGGGCGCCGGCUUGUUUGGCUAUAUAGAUCAAACCCUAGAGGAGCCUCCCAAAACCAUCACCACCAAAGACAAAGAUGGCAAGGACCAGGUGAUUCCAAACCCUGCCUAUGCCCCCUGGCUGAUCCAGGAUCAACAUAUCGUCGCCUAUCUCCUUCGCAACCUGUCCAAAGAAGUUCUUGUCCAAGUUGCCUCGCUUGAAUCCUCACAUGCGAUAUGGGCUGCACUGGCGGCCAUGUUUUCUGCCGUCACGUUGUCCCGCGUCAACAACAUCCGAUCUGCGCUAACCAACGCGCAGAAAGGUACUCAGUCGGCCUCGGCAUACUUCGGGCAUAUGCGCUCCCUCUCCGAUGAGCUCGCGGCGGCGGGAAAACCACUCGGGGAGGGGGAGCUCAUCUCCUUCAUCGUCAUGGGCUUGGACAUGGACUACCAGCCAAUCAUCUCCGCCCUCGACGUGCGCACUGAACUUGUCACCAUCGACGCGCUCUUCUCCCUGGUGGCGAACUUCGAUCAGCGGAUCAAGAUGUUCCAUGGCGGUGGUGCUGGUGGCUUCAAGUCCUCGGCAAACGCUGCUUCCAGGGGUCGUCCAAACGCCGGCAAGGGAGGCUAUCACAACCAGAAGGGCGGCGGCGGCCCCCGAGGAAACGGAGGUGGCUACAGUGCUCCCGGUGGCGGCAACUAG